rnacentral:snoRNA from 1 species
UGCACGUGAUGUUUUUCUCACGAUGGUCUUCCUAGCCAGCAGGGUUUUGACGACAACGCCUUUUGGCAAAGCUGAUGUGAUUAG